CGUGCUUAACACAUGCAAGUCGAACGCGAAAGGGACUUCGGUCCUGAGUAAAGUGGCGCACGGGUGAGUAACGCGUGGAUAAUCUACCCGACGAUCCGGGAUAACAUCUCGAAAGGGGUGCUAAUACCGGGUAAGACCACGGGCUCUUCGGAGCUUGCGGUAAAAGGUGGGGACCUUCGGGCCUACCGUCAUCGGAUGAGUCCGCGUACCAUUAGCUAGUUGGUGGGGUAAGAGCCUACCAAGGCGACGAUGGUUAGCUGGUCUGAGAGGAUGAUCAGCCACACUGGAACUGAGACACGGUCCAGACUCCUACGGGUGGCAGCAGUAGGGAAUAUUGGUUAAUGUGCGAAAGCGCGAACCAGCAACGCCGCGUGUGCGAUGAAGGCCUUCGGGUCGUAAAGCACUUUUUGCAGGGAAGAGGAAGGACGGUACCUGCAGAAUAAGUCUCGGCUAACUACGUGCCAGCAGCCGCGGUAAAACGUAGGAGACGAGCGUUAUCCGGAUUUACUGGGCGUAAAGCGCGUGCAGGCGGCAUGGCAAGUUGGAUGUGAAAGCUCCCGGCUUAACUGGGAGAGGUCGUUCAAUACUGCCAGGCUUGAGAGUGGUAGAGGGAAGCGGAAUUCCGGGUGUAGUGGUGAAAU
rnacentral:rRNA from 1 species